CAUGGGGGGUGGGAGCUGUGGCCGGAGCCACGCAGGAAGAGCUCAUCCCUCUCUCUGGGAAGAAGGGAAGCCCAGGAGAUGGUGAAGACCUCCCAUUUUAUGGAGAGGAAUGAGCAAGCCCUGGAACUCCCUGAGGUUGGUAGAACCAGAGUCUUCUAGAUGGGAGUGUGGAAUUUACUAUGGUUGUUGUAACGCAAGUUUACACAGUAGAAAACUGAAAGCUAAUUUUAUGCCUGAUAUAAAGACUUGAUUAACCUUCAUGGACAAACUACCUUAUUUCAUAAUUGAGGAGAAUAAGGCUCAGAGAAACCUAGUACCUUGCCUACAGAGGCAUGGGGAGUUAUAGCCAGAGUUGGAAUUAACAUGGGUUUUCACCCUGAAUUAACAAAUAUUCCAUAAGACUAAACCCCUCCCCCCAUCUCUUGGGCUUUGAUUACCCAAAACUUAAAAAAAUCUGCAAAGCAGAGGC
rnacentral:lncRNA from 1 species